CGUAGGGUGCGAGCGUUAAUCGGAAUUACUGGGCGUAAAGCGUGCGCAGGCGGUUUAGUAAGACAGGCGUGAAAUCCCCGGGCUCAACCUGGGAACUGCGCUUGUGACUGCUAAGCUAGAGUACGGCAGAGGGGGUGGAAUUCCACGUGUAGCAGUGAAAUGCGUAGAGAUGUGGAGGAACACCAAUGGCGAAGGCAGCCCCCUGGGUCGAUACUGACGCUCAUGCACGAAAGCGUGGGUAGCAAACAGGAUUAGAUACCCUGGUAGUCCACGCCCUAAACGAUGUCAACUAGGUGUUGGGAGAGUAAAACCUUUUAGUACCGGAGCUAACGCGUGAAGUUGACCGCCUGGGGAGUACGGCCGCAAGGUUA
rnacentral:rRNA from 1 species